rnacentral:rRNA from 1 species
AUGGCGCAGAUCGAGCCCGUGUUUGACCAAGGAAUGGAUCCAUUUCUUGCUAGGCUGACCAUACCAGCAGCCAACACUAGCCAAUCCCGAUGCACACCUCACAAUGGUUUGUCCUUGCUCAAUCGGCCUUCUCUCGACACACCCUCGUCUUUGGAAGGUUCACCAGUGCCACCACCGCCAUCCUUGUUCUCCUGCAAUUGCAGCUGUGAUAUCGGAAGCAACUUUGAGGCGUUUGCAACUGUAAUGUCGCGGCUACACCAACACCUUCUGGAUGCAGAUGUAGAGAUCAACUACACAGACUACUUAGAUUUGAUGAAACUGGAAGUCGAUCAACAGCUUAAUAGGCUCAAGGAGGAUAUGAUGCUCUUGAGAAGCCAGAACUUUGUUCAUGACAGUGAUGCAGAUGUUUCAUGCCCUGUGAUAUGCCAUCAUGGAAAGCCAAUAGUAGAGAUAGAUGAGGUGUUCAAUGACCUUAAGCUACUCUUGAUACUGGUGUUCCGGCAAAUUAAGGACAUGUUGAGCCUGUUCAACGCUUCAAUUCACGAUCUUCAGUGGGAGCAUGACUUGCAAUUAGAGGUCACCGGCAUUAUGAUUGGAGACUGUAUCAGAACUCUUGAGGAUGAGCUAGAGAGGAGGUUUUUUGAACAAAGUUCCAUUGUUAACAAUCUAAGGGAGAACCGGAAGGAAACUGUGGUUCAGUGCGGUGCAAUCCGUCAAGAGUUGAUGUCUAUUUCGGAUAUGCUGUUACCUUCAGAAGAUGAAUCACAUAGUCCCCGCAGUAAGCAUGAAAAUCUGGGUAACAGGAGUAACAGAUGGAAAUACAAUCUCUUAAGAAAUAAAACAGGGGAGGAACACUCUGCAUCUUCCAGUGUGGAAACCAAGAAGUCUGCAACACAGAGAUCUGUAAGUCCCAGAGAAGUAAUUUCUGAAAAAUCCGACUUUCGGCAUCUCAAGGGUUCAACUGGGGAAGAAAUCAUAAACUACUUCAGAUCUGAGAUUAGUAAAUUAAAGAGGUUGCAUGAAUUGUACUUACAAGAUAAAACGGAAGAGCUGUUCAAAUUCAAACGAGAGAAGGCGUCAUUAGAUCUUAAGCAUGAUCUAGAAUUUGAGCAUCUAAGAAAGAAAGUUCCUGACAUCAUUUCAAGGGUUGACACAAUCAUUGCUAGUACCAUAAAGGCACCUACAGUUUGCAGCACUAGCGAGGCACUUGAGGAAAAUUGCAGAUUGGAUAAUAAAAUUGAUUCAUUGUACCUUGAAAACCAGCACCUUAGAGGUUUGCUUGCAGAAAAGAUGAAUGAUAUUAAGGAAUUAUCGUGCCAGAUAUCUGAUGCCAGGAGGGAAAUAUCACUUCGAUUGUCACUUGAAGAACAAAUUAUGAGACAAGUCGGCAUCAUUAAAGGAGACUAUGAGGAUCUCUAUGUUGAAAGCACUAUUAGAGAUGAAGUAUACCGAACUGUGACAAGAAAUUUUGUUGAUGACUGUAGGACCAGCAUGGAAGAUGCCUCACGGAAUUCUCAAGCAGAAGUGUCCUCACUUGAAGCUAAACUCUCAGAAAGGGAGAAGGCAUUGCGUUUAGCUAAUGAAGAAAAUCAGAAGCUAACAGAAAAGUUGUUGUUACUAGAAAAGGAACACUUCAUUGAAAAUAAUCAUGAAAAUCCAGAGCUAACCAAGCAAGAGAGUGAUGAAAUGAUACUUCGUGAUAUCGAGAUGGAGCCUCAUGUAUCAGCAAGAUCAUACGAGAGUUGUGAGCAGAGUAUGGAGGAUAAGGAGCUCGUCAAACUGAGCCAGACUACAGAGAUUGCCUCAACUACCUUACAUGAAGUUGAAACAAAAAAGUUGGAAUACAAUGGGUUUCUAGGCAAAAAUGAGCACAUAAUACAACUAGAUUUCAUUAUGGUAUCUAUUAUGGAUUUAUCAAAAGAAUUUGUGGAGAUUGAACAUAAAAUUUCAGGAGACAUCAAAGGAAAUGAGAAAAGAUCAGAUGAUCUGAGGGAUCAAUGCAACCAUGUGGUUCAACAGGCAAUAGUACUAACAAAGAAGGGCCUCUCAUAUAAGCAAAUGCUAGACCGAAGACGGUCCGAGCUUCGAAAAGCUGAAGCUGAGGUUGACAUUUUGGAAAACAAGGUUACUGCACUCCUAAGUAUUGCGCAAAAGAUAUAUGUGACUCUCGAGCAUUAUUCUCCCGUCUUUCAGCAGUAUCCUGGGUUACUGGGUGCUUUCUUGAAGACAUGCAAGCUUGUUGCAGGUCUAAGGAAUAAACAAAAGGAUGACUUACAAGAUACAACAUAA